rnacentral:rRNA from 1 species
CUUGGUCUUUUUAGAGGAAGUAAAAGUCGUAACAAGGUCUCUCCUUGGUGACCCAGCGGAGGGAUCAUUACCGAGUUUACACUCCCAAAUCCCCUGUGGACCUAUACCUUUGCUGGUGCCUGGGCGGGCUCGGCCGCGGACGCCCCCUCGCGGGGGCACCGGGGAUUUCAGGGGCGGCCGCCGGAGGACCCAAACCCUUCUGUGUUCUCUUACGCAUGUCUGAGUGGAUUUACGAUUGAAUCAUAACUUUCAACUCCGGAUCUCUUGGUUCUGGCAUCGAUGAAGAACGCAGUGUAAAUGCGAUAAUUAAUGUGAAAUUGUGAGAAUUCAGCUGAUUCAUCUAAUCUUUGAAUUUCACAUUGCGCCCUCCAGUACUCUGGCGGGCAUGCCUGUUCGAGCGUCAUUUCAACCCUCAAGCCCGCUGCGUGCUUGGUGUUGGGGACCGGCCAGCCCGCCUCGGGGCGGCCGGCCGCCCCUGAGAUGAAUUGGCGGUCUCGCCGCAGCGUUCUUUGCGUAGUAGCAUACCACCUCGCCACCAGGAGCGCGGCGCGGCCACUGCCGUAAAACGCCCAACUUCUCCAAGAGUUGACCUCGAAUCAGGUAGGAAUACCCGCUGAACUUAACAUAUCAAUAAGCGGAGGAA